rnacentral:rRNA from 1 species
CGGGUGAGUAACGCGUGGGAACGUGCCUUUCACUACGGAAUAGCUCUUGGAAACGAGUGGUAAUACCGUAUACGCCCUCCGGGGGAAAGAUUUAUCGGUGAAAGAUCGGCCCGCGUUAGAUUAGUUUGUUGGUGGGGUAAUGGCCUACCAAGACUACGAUCUAUAGCUGGUCUGAGAGGAUGAUCAGCCACACUGGGACUGAGACACGGCCCAGACUCCUACGGGAGGCAGCAGUGGGGAAUCUUGCACAAUGGGCGAAAGCCUGAUGCAGCCAUGCCGCGUGAAUGAUGAAGGCCUUAGGGUUGUAAAAUUCUUUCGCUAGGGAUGAUAAUGACAGUACCUAGUAAAGAAGCCCCGGCUAACUUCGUGCCAGCAGCCGCGGUAAUACGAAGGGGGCUAGCGUUGUUCGGAAUUACUGGGCGUAAAGCGCGCGUAGGCGGGCUAUUAAGCCAGAUGUGAAAGCCCGGAGCUCAACUCCGGAACUGCAUUUGGAACUGGUAGCCUAGAGACCAGGAGAGGUUAGCGGAAUACCGAGUGUAGAGGUGAAAUUCGUAGAUAUUCGGUGGAACACCAGUGGCGAAGGCGGCUAACUGGACUGGU